GACCCGGCCUCGCGGGGAGGUUGUCGGGAGCACUUCCCUAACUUGCUCCUGGGUGGGAGGAAUGCUCCGCUCUUUUGUUCCCAGGAAGGGAAAAACGGGGCGGAGGUUCCUGCUGCCAUGUUGUGGCCCUGGUCUUCCGCCUGCGAGUGGUAGUUCCUUACACCCGGCCCCUUCUCGCGCGUCUUUCCACGAGCUCUCCACGGGGAGGAGGCGAAAGGGUGGACAGGGGAAAACUGCUGAAGAGCUUUCGGAGAGACCUCAUCCAGUCGCUGGCCUCGUCAAGGCAGUAAAAAUUCCUGGGGAAGACAUUUUCCACGUGAUGUUGCUCGUGUCUGUAGUUAAAGACUUUUCUAUUGAUCUCCGUGCUCAGUUUUAAAGAUAGUAGAAUGUGGCUUUUUCAAAAGAUUCGUUCUGAGCCGUUUGAAAUGCUCUGUGUUCUACGAAGUCUAUUUGCAUCCUUGAACACCGGGGAAUUUCCAGGUGGCUAAACAAAAUGUAAUUGUCUGUUUGUGUUUUGAGUACGUUCUAGGUUAGUCUUAACUGAUCUGCAAUGCAGUGACAGUGCCAGGAUCUGAAAUACGUUAUAAUUGAAUGAAGGCUUGUAGAUCUGUAUGUUAGCAGUGUCUUAAUUUUGGUGCUCUUUCUCGUUCCAGGUAUUUCAUUUCUCCCGUCCCCUCCCCUCCCCACCCCAUCUAUUAAUAUUAUUCUUUUGAAGAUUCUUCGUUGUCAAGCCGCCAAAGUGGAGAGUGCGAUUGCAGAAGGGGGUGCUUCUCGUUUCAGGUAUGUGUAGAUUUAUUUUGGGGAAUCCUUUUGAAAAGGACAGUCCUAAAAACUAGUUACCAUAGCAAAUAAGUCCGACUUAAUGGGCUGCAAUUUUCAUUUGAAAAGUUCUUAAGUUUUCAUUGACAGCCUUCUAAGAACUGCCAUCUGAAGAAUAAAUAAAAUCAAUUAUUUGCAUUUCCUUUGGGUCCAAGUUCAGUCUUCAUUUGUAGCAUAAUAUACAAGCACUAAAAUACAGGCCUGGCUCCAGUCUGGGCAAAAUAGCGAGACCCCCCCAUCUCUACAAGCAAAGCAAAACACAAAAUAAUCUUUAUUCUUUUUGAGUGAGACAUAGUUGGGAUACAGUAAACAAAAAUUUUUUUCUUUUAAAUAGUGCUUCUUCGGGCGGAGGAGGAAGUAGGGGUGCACCUCAGCACUAUCCCAAGACUGCUGGCAACAGGUGUGGUAAACAUGUUAAAAAAAAAACAGCUUUAUUUAACAGAUUAAAAGUCUUUCCCAUGUGAUGGUAUAAUUAAGGCAAUAGCCAUUAAGACUCCUAAUCUUAAGGGGCAUGGUUUCUUUUGGGUAUCCUAAAUACAGAAUAUCAGGUCCUGAUUAUUCCUUGGCCAAAUUAUCUAAGUGAGUUGAGACUCUCAAACUGUUACUUUUUUCCUUAUUCUUUGGGUUAUUUUUACUAAUGUUUUUUUCUGAAAUCAGUAGCUAUUAUUCCUACUAAUUAUUAUUAGUAAAGUAGUACGCACACAACAUGGUCAAUAAAACAUUAGAAAGUGUUAACUGGCAGCCGGUACAGUGGCUCACACCUGUAAUCCCAACAACAACUUUGGGAAGCAAAGGUGGGAGGGUCAGUUGAGCCCAGGAGUUUGAGAUCAGCCUGGGCAACACAGCAAGACCCCAUCUCUUAAAAAAAAAAGUUAAUUUUCAAAAUGUGGUUCCACAGCGUUGAUACUGGGAAUAUUUACUAGACAUGGAAAUUCUUAGGCCCCACCCCAAACCAGUGAAAGCAGAAACUGGGUGGGCCCAGCAAUCUGUUUUAACAAGCCCUUCAGGUGAUUCUGAUGCACACUACUGUUCCAGAACCACUAAUCUCCAGAGUUGGCUUUCUUGGAGGGGAGAUCGAGAAAGCCUAAAUUACUUUUUUCUAUGUAAGAGAAUUUACGAUGUUUAACAUUUGGUGUGUGACAAUAAGUGUUUUUGCUGAUUUUUAUUAAUCAGCGAGUUCCUGGGGAAAACCCCAGGGCAAAACGCUCAGAAAUGGAUUCCUGCACGAAGCACUAGACGAGAUGACAACUCCGCAGCAAACAACUCCGCAAACGAAAAAGAACGACAUGAUGCAAUCUUCAGGAAAGUAAGAGGCAUACUAAAUAAGCUUACUCCUGAAAAGUUUGACAAGCUAUGCCUUGAGCUCCUCAAUGUGGGUGUAGAGUCUAAACUCAUCCUUAAAGGGGUCAUACUGCUGGUAAGUUUUAAAUAUUGGCUUAACUCAAAAGGGAGAGGGAACUGUUUAACAAACUCAGUUGUGUUUUUUUACACUUGGAUUACUACUUGAAACCCUUAGGUGUGAGUUAGAUAGGUAUGUAUUUUUGAAUACUGAUGGUGAUGAAGAAGAACCACUGACUUUAGUAGCAUUAGAUUGAAGAGGUAAAUAUUAAGUUCAUGGUAUGCUUGAAGAGGUAAAUGUUAAGUUCAUGGUAUGCUUGAAGAGGUAAAUGUUAAGUUCAUGGUAUGCUUGAAGAGGUAAAUGGGGGUGCUUAGCAAGCUGUUCUUUUUCUUUUGUGGAAAACACCAUAUUUAGGUCUUAGAAAUGCAUUGUAUGACAGUUUAUGUAGACUUGAAAGUUUUGAUAUCCAUGGCAUUUUCUGACUCCCAAGAGAUGGAUGUGACUAGAUGAAAUCUGUAUAACUGGACAUUUUUGGUAGACUGUAAUAGCUAACAUUUAGGUGGUUGUAUUUUUCCUAAAGGAAGGGUUCUUGGAGAAGUUUUCGUAUUUAGUUUAAGCAAUGAUAUUUUCUGUAGAUUGUGGACAAAGCCCUAGAAGAGCCAAAGUAUAGCUCACUGUAUGCUCAGCUAUGUCUGCGAUUGGCAGAAGAUGCACCAAACUUUGAUGGCCCAGCAGCAGAGGGUCAACCAGGACAGAAGCAAAGCACCACAUUCAGACGCCUCCUAAUUUCCAAAUUACAAGAUGAAUUUGAAAACCGAACUAGAAAUGUUGAUGUCUAUGAUAAGCGUGAAAAUCCCCUCCUCCCUGAGGAGGAGGAACAGAGAGCCAUUGCUAAGAUCAAGAUGUUGGGAAACAUCAAAUUCAUUGGAGAGCUUGGCAAGCUUGAUCUUAUUCACGAAUCUAUCCUUCAUAAGUGCAUCAAAACAGUAAGUGUGACGGGGAAGUUAGGCUUAGGCGAAUGUUGUCAGUCAUUUGGAGGAAAUGAGUCAGUUAUUCAUCUUAGAGGGAGGUUGACUAGUUAAAUACAGAUGGGCAACAAAAUUUACUAAACAGAAUAAUUUGAAAUACGUGGUGUGUUUGACAAAGUAGGGUUAGAACUGAUCAACACAGACUGGUAGAAAGCCCUGUACUAGAUUCUGUAGGAACUAUGAAUGAGUCAGUGCAAACAUAAAGGGAAAGUACUAUGCCUAAACCAGAGUAACUAAAAUUUUGUCACCACGGCCUUUUAUUCUUAUAGCUUUUGGAAAAGAAGAAGAGAGUCCAACUCAAAGAUAUGGGAGAGGAUUUGGAGUGCCUCUGUCAGAUAAUGAGGACAGUGGGACCUAGAUUAGACCAUGAACGAGCCAAGUCCUUAAUGGAUCAGUACUUUGCCCGAAUGUGCUCCUUGAUGUUAAGUAAGGAAUUGCCAGCAAGGAUUCGUUUCCUGCUGCAGGAUACCGUAGAGUUGCGAGAACACCAUUGGGUUCCUCGCAAGGCUUUUCUUGACAAUGGACCAAAGACGAUCAAUCAAAUCCGUCAAGAUGCAGUAAAAGAUCUAGGGGUGUUUAUUCCUGCUCCUAUGGCUCAAGGGAUGAGAAGUGACUUCUUUCUGGAGGGACCGUUCAUGCCACCCAGGAUGAAAAUGGAUAGGGACCCACUUGGAGGACUUGCUGAUAUGUUUGGACAAAUGCCAGGUAGCGGAAUUGGUACUGGUCCAGGAGUUAUCCAGGAUAGAUUUUCACCCACCAUGGGACGUCAUCGUUCAAAUCAACUCUUCAACGGCCAUGGGGGACACAUCAUGCCUCCCACACAAUCACAGUUUGGAGAGAUGGGAGGCAAGUUUAUGAAAAGCCAGGUAAGUAAUAUUUGAGUGUUGAGGCAACAAGUGUUAAAUUCUGCAAUAUAUGUGAUCUCAUUUGCUAUUAAAACGUGAAACUAUUUUAGGAGUGUGCAUGUUUUCUAAACCAUAUCUGCAACAUUUAUGUCAAACUGAAAUGUUUAUCCUUAAGAUUAGUAAAGUAUUAGUAAAAUCACAUCACUUUAUUUGACAGUUAGGUUAGAUUUUUAUUCUUCCCUGUUUCAUCUUUUACUUUCUCUGGGCAAAUUCAGUUAAACUUUCAUUUUGGCUUGGCUCAUCCCUUUGGUACUUGAUUACCAUGAUUUUUGGACCCGUUUUUAUCUAGACUUUCUUUCUCCUUUUCUGAAAUAGGGGCUAAGCCAGCUCUACCAUAACCAGAGUCAGGGACUCUUAUCCCAGCUGCAAGGACAGUCGAAGGAUAUGCCACCUCGGUUUUCUAAGAAAGGACAGCUUAAUGCAGAUGAGAUUAGCCUGAGGCCUGCUCAGUCGUUCCUAAUGAAUAAAAAUCAAGUGCCAAAGCUUCAGCCCCAGAUAACUAUGAUUCCUCCUAGUGCACAACCACCACGCACUCAAACACCACCUCUGGGACAGACACCUCAGCUUGGUCUCAAAACUAAUCCACCACUUAUCCAGGAAAAGCCUGCCAAGACCAGCAAAAAGCCACCACCAUCAAAGGAAGAACUCCUUAAACUAACUGAAACUGUUGUGACUGAAUAUCUAAAUAGUGGAAAUGCAAAUGAGGCUGUCAAUGGUGUAAGAGAAAUGAGGGCUCCUAAACACUUUCUUCCUGAGAUGUUAAGCAAAGUAAUCAUCCUGUCACUAGAUAGAAGCGAUGAAGAUAAAGAAAAAGCAAGUUCUUUGAUCAGUUUACUCAAACAGGAAGGGAUAGCCACAAGUGACAACUUCAUGCAGGCUUUCCUGAAUGUAUUGGACCAGUGUCCCAAACUGGAGGUUGACAUCCCUUUGGUGAAAUCCUAUUUAGCACAGUUUGCAGCUCGUGCCAUCAUUUCAGAGCUGGUGAGCAUUUCAGAACUAGCUCAACCACUAGAAAGUGGCACCCAUUUUCCUCUUUUCUUACUUUGUCUUCAGCAGUUAGCUAAAUUACAAGAUCGAGAAUGGUUAACAGAACUUUUUCAACAAAGCAAGGUCAAUAUGCAGAAAAUGCUCCCAGGUAAGAGAAUGCUGACUUGUUUGUUUUGUUUUUUUAAUAUUAUAUCUAGAGAUUUCAGUUACCUUGAGUGGAUUUUAUGUAGGUCAGUCUGUCCUGCUCAGAUAAUGAUAAACAUUACCACAGGUCUCACCUAUAAAAAGAGAUUUAUAAUUUAACUACUUUCAUUUGAUCCAUAUGUUGAGUUUUUUUCAUUUGCUGGGUUGGUUCUCUGUUCUGCUACAUGGAUCUUACAUACUUGGGGACAUCAUUUGUGAAGCUCUGCUUUCUGGACAGGACAACUUGGUAAAAUGAACUGUUAGAUGAUGCAGGUGGCUUUGUCUCUUCAGAAAUUGAUCAGAAUAAGGACCGCAUGUUGGAGAUUUUGGAAGGAAAGGGACUGAGUUUCUUAUUCCCACUCCUCAAAUUGGAGAAGGAACUGUUGAAGCAAAUAAAGUUGGAUCCAUCCCCUCAAACCAUAUAUAAAUGGAUUAAAGAUAACAUCUCUCCCAAACUUCAUGUAGAUAAAGGAUUUGUGAACAUCUUAAUGACUAGCUUCUUACAGUACAUUUCUAGUGAAGUAAACCCCCCCAGCGAUGAAACAGAUUCAUCCUCUGCUCCUUCCAAAGAACAGUUAGAGCAGGAAAAACAACUACUACUUUCUUUCAAGCCAGUAAUGCAGAAAUUUCUUCAUGAUCACGUUGAUCUGCAAGUCAGUGCCCUGUAUGCUCUUCAGGUGCACUGCUAUAACAGCAACUUCCCAAAAGGCAUGUUACUUCGCUUUUUUGUGCACUUCUAUGACAUGGAAAUUAUUGAAGAAGAAGCUUUCUUGGCUUGGAAAGAAGAUAUAACCCAGGAGUUUCCGGGAAAAGGCAAGGCUUUGUUCCAGGUGAAUCAGUGGCUAACCUGGCUAGAAACUGCUGAAGAAGAAGAAUCAGAGGAAGAAGCUGACUAAAGAACCAGCCAAAGCCUUAAAUUGUGCAAAACAUACUGUUGCUAUGAUGUAACUGCAUUUGACCUAACCACUGCGAAAAUUCAUUCCGCUGUAAUGUUUUCACAAUAUUUAAAGCAGAAGCACGUCAGUUAGGAUUUCCUUCUGCAUAAGGUUUUUUUGUAGUGUAAUGUCUUAAUCAUAGUCUACCAUCAAAUAUUUUAGGAGUAUCUUUAAUGUUUAGAUAGUAUAUUAGCAGCAUGCAAUAAUUACAUCAUAAGUUCUCAAGCAGAGGCAGUCUAUUGCAAGGACCUUCUUUGCUGCCAGUUAUCAUAGGCUGUUUUAAGUUAGAAAACUGAAUAGCAACACUGAAUACUGUAGAAAUGCACUUUGCUCAGUAAUACUUGAGUUGUUGCAAUAUUUGAUUAUCCAUUUGGUUGUUACAGAAAAAUUCUUAACUGUAAUUGAUGGUUGUUGCCGUAAUAGUAUAUUGCCUGUAUUUCUACCUCUAGUAAUGGGCUUUAUGUGCUAGAUUUUAAUAUCCUUGAGCCUGGGCAAGUGCACAAGUCUUUUUAAAAGAAACAUGGUUUACUUGCACAAAACUGAUCAGUUUUGAGAGAUCGUUAAUGCCCUUGAAGUGGUUUUUGUGGGUGUGAAACAAAUGGUGAGAAUUUGAAUUGGUCCCUCCUAUUAUAGUAUUGAAAUUAAGUCUACUUAAUUUAUCAAGUCAUGUUCAUGCCCUGAUUUUAUAUACUUGUAUCUAUCAAUAAACAUUGUGAUACUUGA
rnacentral:sRNA from 1 species